AUAACUGUUUCUCAUAACUCAGGGCUCUAGACUAACUUUUUGCACUGGUGCGCCUAACGUUUUUUCUUAGGUGCACCAGCACAAAAGUUAGGUGCACCCAAAUUUUCGACCGCAUCGCAUUUAACACAAGUUCACUUUUUUUUUUAAAUCGCUGUCCAUAUAGGCAAUAUUGACUUGUAAAUGAUUAACUAACAAUCUGGUCAACAUAAAGUUCUUUAUUUGAAGCACAAUUCUACAAGAAAGCAGGGCUCUAGACUAACACUUGAGAGAGGUGGCACUGGUGCUACCAAGUUAUUCAGUUGGUGGCACCAGCCCUUAAUUUGAUAGCACCAGAGUCGUGGGGUGAGGUAAGAAAAAAGAAUCACUAAAACUUCAUUAAAAUGUGUUUAAUACAUUAAUAAAUCAAUUAGAAAUGAAUACAAAUCAUUGUUUAUGAUUGAAUUAUUUUUAUUGUAUAUGUAAACUCUCUUUCAACACUUUACCAUAUGUAAAGCUACUUUCUUCCUUUAUUUGUUGUGAACGACUCCUAUAAGAGAACACAAUUCCUUUAAUAUCAGUAAGUGUUUUUGGGCCCGUCCGUUGUUGUUUGAUGAACAUUAUAAACAGAGAUCUUUAUUAUGCUGCUGCCCCUUUAAGAGCUCGCGCAAUAUACUGGAACACGUGUUUUGUUUCCCAACUGUUUGGUCAUGAAACAAACUGAAUACCUUUACAAGGUUUCUUGUUAAUAUGGGAAUUUUUAGGUUAUUUUGUGUUAAUAUGUCCGUUUCAGAGUAAGAAGGCGUGAAAGAGAACUGUGUGGAAUACUGUUGACCUGCUAUCUCUCCCUAAAAAAAGACACCUAAAAUGUUCAGUUAUUCAACUAUAUGGAGGGGUGGAGUGGAAUGUUAAAGAACUGAGCUGGCCAAGCCAAACAUCUCCAAAGGUCCUGAAAUUGAUUGGUGACAUUAUUAUCUCAACUCAGCAUUGUCCUCAUUCAACGUGGACCUGUUUCUGCAUUCAGUCAUGACGUUUAUGGUCCUGGGAUCCUGAUCUGCAAUAACUCAUUCCACCGAACCUGGCGGGAUCCUCAGUGUUCACAUACUGCUCCCUUGCCUCAACAACUACAGGACGACAGCACCGUGGGAACA